GACGAACGCUGGCGGCGUGCCUAACACAUGCAAGUCUUGGGAGAAAGAGGUAGCAAUAUCUUGAGUAAACCGGCGCAAGGGUGAGUAACACGUAGGUAAUCUGCCCAAAGGACGGGAAUAACUUCGAGAAAUCGGAACUAAUGCCCGAUGAUGUUUCAACGCAGCAUUGUGAUGUAAUCAAAUGCCGUAAGGCGCCUUUGGAUGAACCUGCGUCCCAUUAGGUAGUUGGUGAGGUAACGGCUCACCAAGCCGACGAUGGGUAGCUGGUCUGAGAGGACGAUCAGCCACACUGGAACUGAGACACGGUCCAGACACCUACGGGUGGCAG
rnacentral:rRNA from 1 species